rnacentral:rRNA from 1 species
UGAGGAAUAUUGGUCAAUGGGCGGGAGCCUGAACCAGCCAAGUAGCGUGAAGGAUGAAGGUCCUAUGGAUUGUAAACUUCUUUUAUAGCAGAAUAAAGUGACCCACGUGUGGGUUUUUGUAUGUAUGCUAUGAAUAAGGAUCGGCUAACUCCGUGCCAGCAGCCGCGGUAAUACGGAGGAUCCGAGCGUUAUCCGGAUUUAUUGGGUUUAAAGGGUGCGUAGGCGGAAAGAUAAGUCAGCCUGUGAAAGUUUGCGGCUCAACCGUAAAAUUGCAGUUGAUACUGUUUUUCUUGAGUGUACAUAAGGUAGGCGGAAUUCGUGGUGUAGCGGUGAAAUGCUUAGAUAUCACGAAGAACUCCGAUUGCGAAGGCAGCUUACCGGGGUACAACUGACGCUGAUGCACGAAAGUGUGGGUAUCAAACA